rnacentral:rRNA from 1 species
GACGAACGCUGGCGGCGUGCUUAACACAUGCAAGUCGAGCGGUAAGGCCCUUUCGGGGGUACACGAGCGGCGAACGGGUGAGUAACACGUGGGUGACCUGCCCUCAGCUCUGGGAUAAGCCUGGGAAACCGGGUCUAAUACUGGAUAUGACUCCAUGACGCAUGUUGUGGGGUGGAAAGCCUUGUGCGGCUGAGGAUGGGCCCGCGGCCUAUCAGCUUGUUGGUGGGGUGAGGCCCUACCAAGGCGACGACGGGUAGCCGGCCUGAGAGGGCGACCGGCCACACUGGGACUGAGACACGGCCCAGACUCCUACGGGAGGCAGCAGUGGGGAAUCUUGCGCAAGUGGGCGAAAGCCUGACGCAGCGACGCCGCGUGAGGGAUGACGGCCUC